GACAGAGGAUGCAAGCGUUAUCCGGAAUGAUUGGGCGUAAAGCGUCUGUAGGUGGCUUUUUAAGUCUGCCGUCAAAUCCCAGGGCUUAACCCUGGACAGGCGGUGGAAACUACCAAGCUGGAGUACGGUAGGGGCAGGGGGAAUUUCCGGUGGAGCGGUGAAAUGCGUAGAGAUCGGAAAGAACACCAACGGCGAAAGCACUCUGCUGGGCCGACACUGACACUGAGAGGCGAAAGCUAGGGGAGCGAAUGGG
rnacentral:rRNA from 1 species